GGAAGUAAAAGACAAGGUUUCCGUAGGUGAACCUGCGGAAGGAUCAUUGUCGAAGCCUGCCCAGCAGAACGACCCGCGAACUUGUAUAAACAACCGGGGGCAGGGGCGAUCUCGCCCCGUGCCCUCGAACGGCAGGGAGACACUCGUGCCUUCUUGUCGAACAACGAACCCCGGCGCGGUCUGCGCCAAGGAACUUCAAUUAAAGAGUGCCUCCGGUCGCCUCGGAAACGAUGCGCGUGUCGGAGGCGAAUCUUGUACAAAACCAUAACGACUCUCGGCAACGGAUAUCUCGGCUCUC
rnacentral:misc_RNA from 1 species